UCGAGAAUCUUUCGCAAUGGGGGAAACCCUGACGACGCGACGCCGCGUGGAGGAUGAAGGCCUUCGGGUUGUAAACUCCUGUCAGCAGGGGAGAACAAGCUUUUGGUGAAUAAUCAAGAGCUUUGACAGUACCUGCAGAGGAAGCCACGGCUAACUCUGUGCCAGCAGCCGCGGUAAUACAGAGGUGGCAAGCGUUGUUCGGAUUUAUUUGGCGUAAAGGGUCCGUAGGCGGCCUGAAAAGUUGGAUGUGAAAUCCCACAGCUUAACUGUGGAACUGCAUUCCAAACUUUCAGGCUCGAGUGUGAUAGGGGUAAAGGGAAUUCCCGGUGUAAGGGUGAAAUCUGCAGAGAUCGGGAGGAACACCAGUCGCGAAGGCGCUUUACUGGAUCACUACUGACGCUGAGGGACGAAAGCCAGGGGAGCAAACG
rnacentral:rRNA from 1 species